CUGCACUGUUCGUAACCUGGUUCAGUCCUCAGUGUGAACCCUGGGUUCCAUUCCAGUGCCAAAGAGACCCCCAGUGAGGCAGGGGAACUGUGUCCAUCUACACUGACUCCCUGUUCACUCUCUGGGAACACUG